GGUUGCUCUUAAGGAAAUGGCUACAUCCUCCCUAAGUUUUUAGAGUUCAUAAAUUUUACUUGCGCGUUUUCCACACUAUAUAAAGCAAUCACUGCAAUACGACUUUCGUUAACCCCCACACCAAGUAAAUAAGCGAAAGCAAACUUUGAACUGAUUAUUAUAUCUGAGUAGACACUGCAGAGAGAAAUUGCCAGUAAAAGUGAAAUAUUCAAAUACUUCAUUGAAGUCUAAACAGCAAAAUUCCUUCAAUUUUUAUGUAUAAUUAUGAAAUUAUAUUUAUAGAAUGUUAUUUUUAUUUCUCAAAUAAUUUAAUUUGAAAUAUUCAUAAACAGAUGCUGCACGAAGACUUUAUUGGAACCAUAUAGAUUUCAAAAAAUUGUCAACAAUAACAUAUCGUCACGUAACGUAACAACAUUUUCGGAAAUUUAGAGUGGCAUGAAUGAAACUCGAAAUGAAAUGGAACAUGAGUGAAAAAAAAAAUUAAUAUUGGUUAAAACUGGUUUAUAUCUGAGCGCAGAACCUGAAAAUGUUGAACAUAUGUAAUAUUUUGUGACGAUAUAUAGACGUGUGUAAUGGAAAGUAGUAAUGCAAAAGUGAUGUAAUUCGUAAAAAAUAUUUUGUUUUGAAUUUUUUUUUUAUAUUAAUAUUUUAUGUAAUUUUGACAGAAUAUUUCGAGGCGCUUUUGUGUAUAAGCUUUUAUCAAAGUUCAUGAUCUUUUUCUGUGAUGUGUUUCUUAAACUACUAUAUUGAAUAAUGUAUAGAACGGCUGAACAACCUAUCACGUCGUAACCAAGUGUAACUUAUCGGGACGCCCGGUCUGAAGGUUAUAGUCCAUAGGACCAGAACCCUAUAUUACGGUUGGUUCUUAUAUCUUACAGGAGUUGCUCCGCCAGGAGAAAAGAAUAGACCGGGAGAAGUAAUGCCAACAAAUCCAUGUCAUGCACCAGGCUAGUUGCUAAUGGGUGAUUACAACCUAAGCAAGAUUAAAAAUGUAUCCAAUUUCCCAAGGAAAAAAUUAGGGCUCCUUGUCGCAUUCUACACUGGACAUUGUAAGUUCAAGAAGGACUUAUUAACAUGGGUCUUAGUUAUGGCAGC